UACAGAGGGGGCAAGCGUUGUCCGGAUUUACUGGGCGUAAAGGGCGCGUAGGCGGCAAUUCAAGUCACUUGUGAAAUCUCCGAGCUUAACUCGGAACGGUCAAGUGAUACUGCUUUUUGCUAGAGUGCAGAAGGGGCAACCGGAAUUCUUGGUGUAAGCGGUGAAAUGCGUAGAUAUCAAGAGGAACACCGGAGGUGAAGACGGGGUGCUGGGGCUGACACUGACGCUGAGGCGCGAAAGCUAGGGGGAGCGAACAGG
rnacentral:rRNA from 1 species